rnacentral:rRNA from 1 species
GAUGAACGCUGGCGGCGUGCCUAAUACAUGCAAGUCGAGCGAACGGACGAGACGCUUGCUUCUCUGAUGUUAGCGGCGGACGGGUGAGUAACACGUGGAUAACCUACCUAUAAGACUGGGAUAACUUCGGGAAACCGUAGCUAAUACCGGAUAAUAUUUUGAACCGCAUGGUUCAAAAGUGAAAGACGGUCUUGCUGUCACUUAUAGAUGGAUCCGCGCUGCAUUAGCUAGUUGGUAAGGUAACGGCUUACCAAGGCAACGAUGCAUAGCCGACCUGAGAGGGUGAUCGGCCACACUAGAACUGAGACACGGUCCAGACUCCUACGGGAGGCAGCAGUAGGGAAUCUUCCGCAAUGGGCGAAGGCCUGACGGAGCAACGCCGCGUGAGUGAUGAAGGUCUUCGGAGCGUAAAACUCUGUUAUUAGGGAAGAACAUAUGUGUAAGUAACUGUGCACAUCUUGACGUGACCUAAUCAGAGAGCCACGGCUAGCUACGUG